rnacentral:lncRNA from 1 species
UCUGCUUCCUGGAGGACCCAAACAAACAUAAUUGCUGUAGAGAUUGAAUGAAUUAAUCCAGGCAAAGCGUGUAGCAGGUGCUGAAGGAUGCUUGCUGGCUGUGAGGAUGCUGCGGAUGACAGUCAUUAGUCUAAGUGUCAGAGUUCCUGCUGGUCCAGAAAACAGCCCUGAAAAGACUGCCUGAUAGUCUUGGAGGGUGGACAAAAUCAGACAGACUCUGAUGGAGAGGGCACACGUGCUUGAAGGAGAGACGUGGAUCUAGACAGACACUGCAGAGGGAGUCUGAGAGCCGGCACAGGCGGUGCUGUAAACCGCCUGGACUUGGUACCAGAAAGUCCAGAUUCAUUGCAUUUCACCUCCCAUGAGGCAAAGGAAAUGAUUUUGCC